GACGAACGCUGGCGGCGUGCUUAACACAUGCAAGUCGAACGGAAAGGCCCUGCUUUUGUGGGGUGCUCGAGUGGCGAACGGGUGAGUAACACGUGAGUAACCUGCCCUUGACUUUGGGAUAACUUCAGGAAACUGGGGCUAAUACCGGAUAGGAGCUCCUGCUGCAUGGUGGGGGUUGGAAAGUUUCGGCGGUUGGGGAUGGACUCGCGGCUUAUCAGCUUGUUGGUGGGGUAGUGGCUUACCAAGGCUUUGACGGGUAGCCGGCCUGAGAGGAUGACCGGCCACAUUGGGACUGAGAUACGGCCCAGACUCCUACGGGAGGCAGCAGUGGGGAAUAUUGCACAAUGGGCGGAAGCCUGAUGCAGCAACGCCGCGUGCGGGAUGACGGCCUUCGGGUUGUAAACCGCUUUCGCCUGUGACGAAGCGUGAGUGACGGUAAUGAGUAAAGAAGCACCGGCUAACUACGUG
rnacentral:rRNA from 1 species